AGACCAUGGUGGGGAUAUCUUUUUGGAAGAUCUUUGAAUCUCUCCCAAGUUUCAUAUAACGACUCAUCUUCAUAUUGAGUAAAACUUGUAAUGUCCAUACUAAAUUU